UACGGGGGGAGCAAGCGUUGUUCGGAUUUACUGGGCGUAAAGGGCGCGUAGGCGGUCAGCACAAGUCAGUUGUGAAAUCUCCGGGCUUAACCCGGAAAGGUCAACUGAUACUGUGCGACUAGAGUGCGGAAGGGGCAACUGGAAUUCUCGGUGUAGCGGUGAAAUGCGUAGAUAUCGAGAGGAACACCUGCGGCGAAGGCGGGUUGCGGGGCCGACACUGACGCUGAUGCGCGAAAGCCAGGGGAGCGAACGGG
rnacentral:rRNA from 1 species